rnacentral:rRNA from 1 species
AUUGAACGCUGGCGGCAUGCCUUACACAUGCAAGUCGAACGGUAACAGGUCUUCGGAUGCUGACGAGUGGCGAACGGGUGAGUAAUGCAUCGGAACGUGCCCGAUCGUGGGGGAUAACGGAGCGAAAGCUUUGCUAAUACCGCAUACGAUCUACGGAUGAAAGCAGGGGACCGCAAGGCCUUGCGCGGACGGAGCGGCCGAUGGCAGAUUAGGUAGUUGGUGGGAUAAAAGCUUACCAAGCCGACGAUCCGUAGCUGGUCUGAGAGGACGACCAGCCACACUGGGACUGAGACACGGCCCAGACUCCUACGGGAGGCAGCAGUGGGGAAUUUUGGACAAUGGGCGAAAGCCUGAUCCAGCCAUGCCGCGUGCAGGAUGAAGGCCUUCGGGUUGUAAACUGCUUUUGUACGGAACGAAAAGCCUCUUUCUAAUAAAGAGAGGUCAUGACGGUACCGUAAGAAUAAGCACCGGCUAACUACGUGCCAGCAGCCGCGGUAACAC